GAUGCCAUGUCAAUUUGAACUCCAGAGACACACUAAAUAACGUUUAGUGUAAGUAUAUCCCAAGUAUUGCAUGGGACACACUUAUGCUAAAAAUUAUUAUUGUUAUUUUUUUUUAAUCUGAAAUUCACACUUU
rnacentral:miRNA from 14 species